UUGAAUUGAAGAGUUUGAUCAUGGCUCAGAUUGAACGCUGGCGGCAGGCUUAACACAUGCAAGUCGAACGGUAGCAGGAGAAAGCUUGCUUUCUUGCUGACGAGUGGCGGACGGGUGAGUAAUGCUUGGGAAUCUGGCUUAUGGAGGGGGAUAACGACGGGAAACUGUCGCUAAUACCGCGUAUUAUCGGAAGAUGAAAGUGCGGGACUGAGAGGCCGCAUGCCAUAGGAUGAGCCCAAGUGGGAUUAGGUAGUUGGUGGGGUAAAGGCCUACCAAGCCUGCGAUCUCUAGCUGGUCUGAGAGGAUGACCAGCCACACUGGAACUGAGACACGGUCCAGACUCCUACGGGAGGCAGCAGUGGGGAAUAUUGCGCAAUGGGGGGAACCCUGACGCAGCCAUGCCGCGUGAAUGAAGAAGGCCUUAGGGUUGUAAAGUUCUUUCGGUAUUGAGGAAGGUUGAUGUGUUAAUAGCACAUCAAAUUGACGUUAAAUACAGAAGAAGCACCGGCUAACUCCGUGCCAGCAGCCGCGGUAAUACGGAGGGUGCGAGCGUUAAUCGGAAUAACUGGGCGUAAAGGGCACGCAGGCGGUUAUUUAAGUGAGGUGUGAAAGCCCCGGGCUUAACCUGGGAAUUGCAUUUCAGACUGGGUAACUAGAGUACUUUAGGGAGGGGUAGAAUUCCACGUGUAGCGGUGAAAUGCGUAGAGAUGUGGAGGAAUACCGAAGGCGAAGGCAGCCCCUUGGGAAUGUACUGACGCUCAUGUGCGAAAGCGUGGGGAGCAAACAGGAUUAGAUACCCUGGUAGUCCACGCUGUAAACGCUGUCGAUUUGGGGGUUGGGGUUUAACUCUGGCGCCCGUAGCUAACGUGAUAAAUCGACCGCCUGGGGAGUACGGCCGCAAGGUUAAAACUCAAAUGAAUUGACGGGGGCCCGCACAAGCGGUGGAGCAUGUGGUUUAAUUCGAUGCAACGCGAAGAACCUUACCUACUCUUGACAUCCUAAGAAGAGCUCAGAGAUGAGCUUGUGCCUUCGGGAACUUAGAGACAGGUGCUGCAUGGCUGUCGUCAGCUCGUGUUGUGAAAUGUUGGGUUAAGUCCCGCAACGAGCGCAACCCUUAUCCUUUGUUGCCAGCGAUUUGGUCGGGAACUCAAAGGAGACUGCCAGUGA
rnacentral:rRNA from 1 species